rnacentral:lncRNA from 1 species
GAAUAUUAUGCUUGGGUCACAGGCCAGUGUUAUGAGUUCCAAGUCUUGACACACAUGUUCUCAGUUUUAGUUGACUUCUAACUUGAGAAAUAUCAUCCAUCUUCAACUACAGAGAUACACACCUACAUAUCCAUCCAUCCAUUAGGCACGUCUUGUAACUUUCUCAUCUGAGAACUUGUCCCUCUCGCCUCUCAACCAACACCCUUGGGAUGAUAGGAUAGCACAGCCUGCCAAGCUGGCAUGCUUGAGACUCCCAAGCUCAGCAGAGAAGUUACA